CGACUCUCGGCAACGGAUAUCUAGGCUCUCGCAUCGAUGAAGAACGUAGCAAACUGCGAUACUUGGUGUGAAUUGCAGAAUCCCGUGAACCAUCGAGUCUUUGAACGCAAGUUGCGCCCGAAGCCGUUAGGCCGAGGGCACGUCUGCCUGGGCGUCAC
rnacentral:rRNA from 1 species